CAGGUUGAACCCAGCCUAAGUGGGCAAAGUUGGGGUACUGCAGUGACAAUAAGGUGUAGCUAGACAGGUCAACUUGAGUGUAGGAUUUAAAGGGAUUGUACAAGAUAAGGAAAGUAUCUGAUUUUGCUGCCAACAGCGCCACUCUUGACUGUAGGCCAUGUAUGGUAUUGCAGCACGGCAACAUUCAUUUGAAUAGCAAUAAGUUGCAAUACCAAGACAAGGCCGAUGGACAACAGUGGCUCUUUUUCUGGAAAAAAAAAAUAAUACACAGAUAAUUUCUAAUUCCGUACAAUCCCUUUAAGUGAGCGAUGGCCACUUGUGCAUUGACCUUAUAAAUUAAAAAAAACAAAGUUCAUUUUAAAAAGGAUACAAUGAAAAAAAAAUAAUAUAUAUAUAUAUUAAAAUAGGAGGGUAAAACAAAAACUAAGAGUCAGACAUGUCAAUAUUUGUGCCCGACCCCCCCCCCCCCCACAAAUAUCCAGUGAUUGCGUUAACUCGUCUGAAAUUGUUAAAAUGAAUAAAAAGUAAAGUAGUGUCUUAAAUAAAACGGGGGGGAAAAAAAAUAAAAAAAACGAAGACGAAAACACGUAAAAAUCUGAAAGGAAAAAAACCCAGACAGAAACAGUGGCCGGGCCCAGAGGAGCCUCCUUGUACACACUGUCCAACACAUCUGUAUAUACACGCAUUCAGUGCGCCCUAACAAGCGAUCUGUCCAUCCAUGGGGGACCGGGCGAGCACUAACAUGGUGCCAGGGCUAGGAAACAAUAUGACCCAAUAAGCGGAGCUGGCAUAUGAAGCGGACAUUUUACCCUUGGACAUCAGUGGUUUAUUAAAUCCACGGUACUUGGGUGCAAAAGAGGCGAGGAGCAGGCACAAAGAUGGUGGAACUGGCGCUGUAGACCAGUGAAAUGUCUGGACUUACCUGCACUGAGCAUAAGAAAUAAUUAAGGUCGAUGGAAGAAAUCUACGAUGUAAAAAGAAGUUGCCUCAAAAGACAUGGGGGAGGUCCCCCAUUCAGGACCCUCAUCUAUUAGCCAGAACAGAAAACUGCUACAAAGGUUCCCUCACUCUGGAGGACCCAACAUGUCCAUGCAUUACAAGGACAGCCCAUUGAAUUCAACAGGUAGUGCUUCAUUUCCCCUCUGGUGGCGCUGCAUGACUUCGUAUACAGAUUGCAGAGAUUAAAGAGAAGUCAUACCUGUCCUGUAUAGUUCCUCUCUCUUUAUGAUCCACUCCUGAUUAUGACUUCCAAAACUGCAUGCAGAAACCUGACCGUGUGGCUGUACCCUUAUACUGAUCACCUAUCCUCUGGAUAAGUCAUAAGUAACUGAUUGGUGGGGGUCCAAUACCUGGCACCCCUGCUGAUCAGCUGUUUGAACAGGCUGCUGAGCUUACUGGAGCUCCACCAAUAAGGAGCACUCAUUUGAGAAUGGAGCUCCACCAAUAAGGAGCACUCAUUUGGGACUGGAGCUCCACCAAUAAGGAGCACUCAUUUGGGACUGGAGCUCCACCAUUAAGGACCACUCGUUUGAGACUAGAGCUCCACCAAUAAGGAGCACUCAUUUGGGACUGGAUCUCCACCAAUAAGGAGCACUCAUUUGGGACUAGAGCUCCACCAUUAAGGACCACUCGUUUGAGACUGGAGCUCCACCAAUAAGGGGCACUCAUUUGGAAAAAAUAUUGUAGACCACGUUUGGUGUUGUGGACCACCAUUUUCUGCUGCAAAAAGAACUGGUGAGGAACUUGAACCUCUUUAAGACCCCCUUGUUUUUCUUUUUGACAAAUGCCAUGUUUGGAGAUAUUCUGCUUCCACAGAUGGUAACUCAAGGUAAGUUCACACUUGCGUUGAAAAGGUUCCAGCAGAGAACAGUCUGGCUGGGUUUGCCAGAUCCCACCUAAGUGUUCACUGCUGAACCUCAUUGUCAAUAAUGUGAUUUGGUGGGGAUCUGGUGGUCCAGCAGUGAAUGGCAGCAUCCGGCUAGGCGGGAUACGGCUAACUUAGGCAGGCUGUUCUCUGGAGGAACAGCCUGCCGGAUCGGAUUAAGCCAUGUGUGAACCUACCCAUACACAUCUGGUGAGAAGUUAUAACCGCCGGCAGUCGUGGCUUGCAUGUAUGAUAACCAACGGUCACAGGAUCUCAAGGUUGUACGUUUUUCAGGCUACCACUUCCUCCCAUUGGCUAUGGCUUGAGGUGAUAGUCCGCCAGCUUCCCUCCUGAUGCACUAGGUUGCCAUAUUCUGAUGGCUAGCACAGAGGGAAGAUAUAAAGGAAACGCGACUGCCCUCAACUACACCAAGAUUCAUUUAAGGACAAGAUGACGACCAGUCAGAUGGGCCUGAGGGGUUCAUGUCUCGGGUGUAUGUAUGGUCUAGAGUGGGGUGUGAAGGGAUGAUCAAAAAACCCUGACAUCCGAGGUAUCAGAAUAAACCCCUCUAUCUAAUUCUGCAGAUGAAAUCAGGCCCGAUGCUUACAGCCCCAAGAAGCAGAGAACCAUGUAUUGGACAAAAUCACUGAUGGAGUAUGGCGCUGUUUUUGGAAGAAAGCUGCCGUAUUUGUGUAAUCCUGGACAACCCCUUUAAGAACCCGGUUACCUCCUAAUACCUGGGUUCUAUUACUGUAUCUCUUCUGGUGUAAGAUCUGGUGUCAGCUGCAGGGGGAGGGGUGGGUUUGUCGCCACAUUGCUUGCCAGCGUAACCAAUUCUGCCGUGUCUAAAUGGGAUUCCCUGAUUACACACCACAGUAUAUAGACUGCUGACCGAUACUCCAAGAAGCCAUGAGGAGUCUGUAUUUAAAGGGUAUGUCCACCAGAGUAACUUUCUCAAAUCUACAGUCUUCAGAGCUGAAAUCUUCCAGCAGUCCCUGUUCAUGUCUGCACAGAGCUUACAAUGAUGAUCUGCAUUUUGGGAAGCAGGCACUGUAUGGUCAUUUGAUGUAGGGAAAGUUAAAGGGGCAUUCCCCUGGUGAGGUUUAACAGCUUCCAGUGCCUAGUAACAGAACUGUGAAUAUAGCUCUGAAGUAAAAUACAGCUUAUUGUAAUGUAUGUAGUUUGUACACAGUAGAAUAGUGAGUGCAACUCUGAAGUAUAAUACAGGAUGCAACUUAAGAU